GAAAGCCGGAUGAGGGAAAACUUCACGUCCGGUUUGAUGCAGGGGGAGCUGGAAAAGUAAAAGGAGGGCAUACGCCCUCCAUGAAAUUUCAGUUCUCUACUCUAC
rnacentral:ncRNA from 1 species